UCUCCCAUAAACGUCAAAGCUUCCUCUCUCCAUUCUCUAGUUGCAAACUCCCAUUCAGAAAAUUCACACCAAAAACGUCAAGUCUUUCUCUUCCCUUUUCCAUUCUCUAGUUCAAUUUCUGCGUUUUCAAGCAAGGAGAGGAAGAAGAAGAAGGAGCCGUGAAGACCUUGCAUCCAUCAUCCACCAUUGAAGCGUGAAGAGUUGAAGCAUGAUUCCAAGAUUCAAGUCCAACGUUCAAGCCCUCCAUCUCCAUCUCCAACUCACGGUGUGUACCCUCAAUCCCCGGAUUUGAACGAUCCCUACUUACCGUAUACUAACGAUGAUAUUUUCAGGGUUAAAUUAUAUGCUUACUUUUAGCAUAUCA